GCUCCCGGCCCCACUCCCCUCCGGUCUCCGCCCCACCCCGAGUCUCAGCCGUGGGACCGGUCCCUGCGUACUGGGCGGAACCCGGUUUGCAAAGCAGCUCAGCGUGCUGGCCCUGGGCCUGCGGGUUAACGCUUAACCUCGCUUCUGGAGCCCAGCCGCAUCCCUAGCCCCCAACCUUUGGCCCCAACUGUCCAAACGAGGGGUAGAGGGUGAGGGAAGUCGGGUGAAUCCCAGAGGCCUACCCAGCCCGAUCGGGAGCUUUCCUCCCUGCUCACCGCGCCUGGCGGAUGGGGCGUGGGUCCAGUGGCCUCAACUGUGACCGCAUCUCUCCAGCCGGCUGGGGGUGGGGUGGUAGGCACGGACGCGGCCCUCCCUGGACGCCCUCUGUGGGCCAGACCUUCGGGGGGGCCGGGGCGGGGCUAGGGCUGGGAACUCCAGGGCACUCCAGGUUCCUAGGGUAAGUUCUCACGGGCUGCGCGCUCUGUGCCAGGGGCUACUGUAGAGUAUCCAGUGUCCCUAGAGCGGAGAAGGGGAAGGGAUUAACGCUGGGGGCAGGGCGUCUUUGGAGACGCUAUGGACGAUUCGAGAGAGCAUUCCUGCAUUCCAGGUGGGGAAAUGGUGUGAGCGAAGGCGUGGAGGUGAGGAGCCCAAGUGGGGCUUUAUCCUAAAGGUGCUGGAGCUGCCGCGCCUGCCCGGACUACAACAGCGCCUGCCCCGCGUCGCACCAGGGCCUACUGGCCACUCCGUGGUGCCUGUCCACAGCCUGUGUUGACUGACAAUCGCUGGGCCGGAUCUGGGGGCGGGAGCACUGAGGGAAUCCGAUGUACCCCCAAGGGAGUGUGCCAGGUGGUGGACACUAUGAGUACGCCAGGGAAGUACCUGCAUGGAGAAGAACUCCACGGUUCCCCUGGUGGACAAAGCCAGAGAAGUCGCAGAGCUACUUCCUGCGAGAGUUUGUGAUGCUGCAGGAGCCAUCUUGUGACCAAGAAGAGACUGCCUGGAGCACAGCAGAGGCGAUUCCAGGUCCGGUGCACCUGAGCUGGGCCCAGCUGCAGAAACUCUUUCUUCUCAUUAAAUGAAAGAAGCACAAACCCCCUGUUGUUGAAA